rnacentral:snoRNA from 1 species
AUUCGCAAUGAUGAGAAAUGUGAUUCCCAGCUCAUUAUGAGACCUUUUUAAGGUCUGGGAAUGGAAUUUUCCACAUCUAUCUGAGCUUCUAU